rnacentral:rRNA from 1 species
AUUGAACGCUGGCGGCAGGCCUAACACAUGCAAGUCGAGCGGAUGAAGGGAGCUUGCUCCUGGCUUCAGCGGCGGACGGGUGAGUAAUGCCUAGGAAUCUGCCUGGUAGUGGGGGAUAACGUCCGGAAACGGGCGCUAAUACCGCAUACGUCCUGAGGGAGAAAGUGGGGGAUCUUCGGACAUCACGCUAUCAGAUGAGCCUAGGUCGGAUUAGCUAGUUGGUGGGGUAAAGGCCUACCAAGGCGACGAUCCGUAACUGGUCUGAGAGGAUGAUCAGUCACACUGGAACUGAGACACGGUCCAGACUCCUACGGGAGGCAGCAGUGGGGAAUAUUGGACAAUGGGCGAAAGCCUGAUCCAGCCAUGCCGCGUGUGUGAAGAAGGUCUUCGGAUUGUAAAGCACUUUAAGUUGGGAGGAAGGGCAGUAAGUUAAUACCUUGCUGUUUUGACGUUACCAACAGAAUAAGCACCGGCUAACUUCGUG